GUCGAGGACAAGCUUCUUUGUGAGUGUUGGAGGGACAUUGGGCAAGACCCCAAGACCGGCGCCGAACAAAAGGCAUCAACCUUUUGGACCCGUGUCCAUCGUGAGUUCCAUGAGCGCAAGAAGUUUCCACCGUACCAAAUGCAAAACACGCGCGGAUGGGUGUCCAUUUCGAAUCGUUGGAAGGUGAUCCAACAAGAGUGCAACAAGUUUUGUGCCACUCUUGAGAGCAUCAAGGCACACCCUGUGAGCGGCAUCGGCAUGCAAGAGAUGGUAUGCUAG
rnacentral:rRNA from 1 species